CGCCUGGGGAGUACGACCGCAAGGUUGAAACUCAAAGGAAUUGACGGGGGCCCGCACAAGCGGUGGAGUAUGUGGUUUAAUUCGACGCAACGCGAAGAACCUUACCAGGUCUUGACAUUGAUGGACAGAACCAGAGAUGGUUCCUNUUCUUCGGAAGCCAGAAAACAGGUGGUGCACGGUUGUCGUCAGCUCGUGUCGUGAGAUGUUGGGUUAAGUCCCGCAACGAGCGCAACCCCUAUCUUAUGUUGCCAGCACUUUGGGUGGGGACUCAUGAGAGACUGCCGCAGACAAUGCGGAGGAAGGCGGGGAUGACGUCAAAUCAUCAUGCCCCUUAUGACCUGGGCUACACACGUACUACAAUGGGAGUUAAUAGACGGAAGCGAGAUCGCGAGAUGGAGCGAACCCGAGAAACACUCUCUCAGUUCGGAUCGUAGGCUGCAACUCGCCUACGUGAAGUCGGAAUCGCUAGUAAUCGCAGGUCAGCAUACUGCGGUGAAUACGUUCCCGGGCCUUGUACACACCGCCCGUCACACCACGAAAGUCGGAAGUGCCCAAAGCCGGUGGGNUAACCUUCGGGA
rnacentral:rRNA from 1 species